CCCUUAGAUGUUCUGGGCCGCACGCGCGCUACACUGACGAAUGCAACGAGCUUAUAACCUUGGCCGAAAGGUCUGGGUAAUCUCCAAAUUUCGUCGUGAUGGGGAUAGAUUAUUGCAAUUAUUAAUCUUCAUCGAGGAAUGCCUAGUAAGCGCAAGUCAUCAGCUUGCGUUGAUUACGUCCCUGCCCUUUGUACACACCGCCCGUCGCUCCUACCGAUUGAAUGGUCCGGUGAAGCGUUCGGACCGUGGCCUUUGGACGGUUCGCCGUCUGUUGGCUGCGGGAAGUUCGUUAAACCUUAUCAUUUAGAGGAAGGAGAAGUCGUAACA
rnacentral:rRNA from 1 species